rnacentral:rRNA from 1 species
ACGAACGCUGGCGGCGUGCUUAACACAUGCCAGUCGAACGGUGAAGGGACCGGUUUUUGCUGGUUCUGGAUGAGUGGCGAACGGGUGAGUAACACGUGAGUAACCUGCCCCCUUCUUCUGGAUAACCGCAUGAAAGUGUGGCUAAUACGGGAUAUUCUGCGCCUGCUGCAUGGUGGGUGUGGGAAAGAUAUUGUUUCGGUGGGGGAUGGGCUCGCGGCCUAUCAGCUUGUUGGUGGGGUGAUGGCCUACCAAGGCGGUGACGGGUAGCCGGCCUGAGAGGGUGGACGGUCACACUGGGACUGAGACACGGCCCAGACUCCUACGGGAGGCAGCAGUGGGGAAUAUUGCACAAUGGGCGCAAGCAUGAUGCAGCGACGCCGCGUGAGGGAUGGAGGCCGGCGGGUUGUAAACCUCUUUCGCCAGUGAAGCAGGCCUGUCCCUUUUGUGGGUGGGUUGACGGUAGCUGGAUAAGAAGCGCCGGCUAACUACGUG